UACGUAGGGUGCGAGCGUUAAUCGGAAUUACUGGGCGUAAAGCGUGCGUAGGCGGUCCGCGAAGUCUGAUGUGAAAGCCCCGGGCUCAACCUGGGAACUGCAUUGGAAACUAACGGGCUCGAGUGUGGCAGAGGGGGUGGAAUUCCACGUGUACGCAGGUGAAAUGCGUAGACGAUGUGGAGGAACACCGGUGGCGAAGGCGGUGGAUCUGGGCCGGCACUGACGCUGAGGAGCGAAAGCGUGGGUAGCAAACAGGAUAGAU
rnacentral:rRNA from 1 species